rnacentral:lncRNA from 1 species
UUUAUAUUUGUAGGUCCUUGCCCAGAAUUGAACCUAAAAAUAUUCCCAAUAUUGAGAAGUUUCCAAAGCAGGCACACAAAGUGGUUCUUGAGGGAAAAGGUUGGUUUUGAAUUCCAGUGAGGCCUGGAGAACACAAAGCUAUGCGAAUCGCAGAGAUCAUUGCGAUGAAGCCCAGGCUAGUUUACCCGCUGGGGGCAUGUAAUGGACAAUUGAGAUGCCCUAGCCACAAGCCAGUAGGAGGAGCCACAGACAAGUUUUCAGAGGAAGUGAUCAAGAAAGCUUGCUGGAUUUUCCUUCCAGAUUGGCGGUCUCUGCCUGCUCCAGCCCACUCACCAGCAACUACUGAGAAACUCGUUACAGAUUUCAAACCCACUGCCUGCCUGGCAUUGGAAAGUCC